AGCAGCCGCGGUAAUUCCAGCUCCAAUAGCGUAUAUUAAAGUUGUUGCAGUUAAAAAGCUCGUAGUUGAAUUUCGGGAUCAAUUUAUUGGUCGUGCUAUUGUACGUACUGGUAUUAUUGAUUCCUACCUUCUGACGAACCAUGAUGUCAUUAAUUUGGUGUCAUGGGGAAUCAGGACUGUUACUUUGAAAAAAUUAGAGUGUUUAAAGCAGGCUCACGCUUGAAUACAUUAGCAUGGAAUAACGAAAUAGGACGUUUGAUUCUAUUUUGUUGGUUUCUAGGACCGACGUAAUGAUUAAUAGGGAUAGUUGGGGGCAUUAGUAUUCAAUUGUCAGAGGUGAAAUUCUUGGAUUUAUUGAAGACUAACUACUGCGAAAGCAUUUGCCAAGGAUGUUUUCAUUAAUCAAGAACGAAAGUUAGGGAUCGAAGACGAUCAGAUACCGUCGUAGUC
rnacentral:rRNA from 1 species